UGACCUCGGAUCAGUAAG
rnacentral:rRNA from 1 species